rnacentral:rRNA from 1 species
AUGACUGGCCUCCGUGACGAGCCCGCGGCCAGGGAACCCCGGAGAUCCAAGCGUCUCCAGCGGUCCAUGCCCGAGGCGGCGGCCCCUCCUCCGGCACGCCGGACCAGGCGCACCAAGCGCCCGGCUCCUCCGCGCGAGGCCGAGCCCUCCGUUCCCGACGCGAGGGCUGCGCGAUCAUCUUCGCCCCGUUACAACGAUCGGGAAUUGGUGGAUGUGGCUGCGUUGCCUCCUCGUCCCGCACCCCGCGCGGAGGCGGCCCCGGUUCCUCCGCCCGAGCGCGGGGACUCGCCUCGCACCGCCUACGUGCUCCGCAACCGCCGAGUCCCGGAUACCGGCAUCCACAAGCCCACCCCGCCUCCGUGCUACGAGAGAAGGGAAAUUAAGCUGGAUCAGCCACGCUUAUCCAAGAAGCAACUUAAGCGAGCUGAACUUUGGAACGCCCCAGCAUGUGCGCGCAAGGGUUUGGAACGCUACAACGACAUGAAUCAGGGGGAUGGGCAUGAGCUGGUUGACGCAGUGGGCGUCAAAAGCUUUUGCUACUGUGGUCCGUGGCUGCAUGCAAAUUUUCUUGCUAGGCGUAAAGGUGCCAGUAGCAGCUGUGAUGAUCUUGUUCCCAAGUACUUCUUUGCUGAGCUGACAAUCGAUGCAGAUGGUCUCUCGUGCGUUUCAUGCUCCAAGUUUGACUCAGUUGACUGGAAGAACUUUGGCGGAUGUGGAGUGUGCCCGGCAACAUUUGUCCAUCCCGCUGGUGGUGGCUACAUUGGUGCCCGGCCUGAACGACGUCUUCAGCCUGCUCCCACUGGUCUACAGAUAUCAUUUGGUUUCUGA